rnacentral:lncRNA from 1 species
CUUGGAAGUUGCCACAAAUCGCAAACGGGCAUUUUUUUUCUUUCGUGGAUGUGGGAUUCUCCCUGAGUCCAAAAUAAAAUCCUUUUAAAUGGACAUAGAAGGUUCAGACAUUUGAUUUGUUAAUUCGGUGUAGAAUCAAGAGGUACUACUUUAUGCGCAUUAACUGCAGAAAUGCAAGAGAGACUGGCGUCAUUGACCAAACAGAAGAUAUUGUAGGUAUAAAGGAAGAAACUAGAGAGCCCUGAAGUAUAAUGGAUAUGUUGGUAUCAGUAGGACGCCGUUCUGGUGUAGCGCAGAUGGUGUCACUAGCAAUAGGCGGAAUGUUGAUGCUAACAAUAGAAGUCACAGCGGAUGAAGAAAAGUUAUUUUGGAGGGUCAGUGGUUCUGAUAAUGUCAUCGAAAUCCAUGAAAAACCGGUUGGCAAACAAGCAUCACCAUUAUCAAGAACUAAACAUUCUAGGGAGUUUAUAUCUGUGGGCAUGCACUGCCAAUAAGAAAAUCUAGGAUUGGUUAGUAACAACUAUCAUCUACAUCUCGAAGUCAUUCUUCC